rnacentral:rRNA from 1 species
GACGAAGGAUGCAAGCGUUAUCCGGAUUCAUUGGGUUUAAAGGGAGCGUAGGCGGCCUUGUAAGUCAGUGGUGAAAUCUCUGGGCUUAACCCAGAAAUUGCCAUUGAUACUGCAGGGCUUGAGUACAGUUGCCGUUGGCGGAAUAUGACAUGUAGUGGUGAAAUACAUAGAGAUGUCAUAGAACACCGAUUGCGAAGGCAGCUAACGAAACUGUAACUGACGCUGAGGCUCGAAAAGUGUGGGGGAUCAAACAAG